rnacentral:rRNA from 1 species
CCUACGGGGUGCUGCAGUGGGGAAUAUUGCACAAUGGGGGAAACCCUGAUGCAGCAACGCCGCGUGAGUGAAGAAGUAUUUCGGUAUGUAAAGCUCUAUCAGCAGGGAAGAGAAUGACGGUACCUGACUAAGAAGCCCCGGCUAACUACGUGCCAGCAGCCGCGGUAAUACGUAGGGGGCAAGCGUUAUCCGGAUUUACUGGGUGUAAAGGGAGCGUAGACGGCUGGCCAAGUCUGAAGUGAAAGCCCGGGGCUUAACCCCGGAACUGCUCUGGAAACUGUGAAGCUGGAGUGCAGGAGAGGUAAGCGGAAUUCCUGGUGUAGCGGUGAAAUGCGUAGAUAUCAGGAGGAACACCGGCGGCGAAGGCGGCUUACUGGACUGUAACUGACGUUGAGGCUCGAAGGCGUGGGGAGCAAACAGGAUUAGAUACCCUAGUAGUC